ACCUAAAAGUUGACUUCUUUGUAAAUUGGUCUCAUUUUUAGUUCUCUCUCUUUUUCUAAAGAUUUUCUCUUGCUCAGCUCUGCAGUUCUUUCUCUCUCUGAGUUUGGAAAGUGAAGUUGCUUCAGGGGCACAGAGGAACACUGUUGUGACUUAAAGUAUGAGGAUAGUGUACAACUUGAAUACCUGGAAAAUUGCGGAGGAUUCCUUUGGGGACAGCAUUGGCUCAUGCCAAAGAAAACUCUCCUAUUAACUUGGAGCCAAUCUAGAAGAAAUUUUAGAGAGCCAUACUUACAGCUUAGUUUAUCCCUUCAUCCAUGAGGGAUCCAAUACUCGCUACAUGCUUGUUUCGAGAAUCGGAGAAAAUAAGCUUCUUCAAGAGGGCCAAUGUCCUUUUAAGCAAUUUAAGGGUAUUUGCAAGUUUCUUCUACUUUUCUUCCUAGCUUGCUCGGCUUGGGGGAUCACAUCCAGUUACUCCAACUUUAUCAGAAAUUGUAUCUGACUACAGCACAGACUGGUGUACAGAGAACAACUUACAGGUAUGUGGGAUGGUGUUUGUGACAGAUGUCUGGAAAUAGUUCUCUGAAAUAAUGCAAAAAAUUGCUGAAGGUAACUGUUGGAAUUUUUAAAACAGAAACUACUGAUAUGUGCUAAUGGAGAGUUGUUGAAUUUUAACUUGUCCCUUUCUCUUGAACACGUGCCGCUGGUGGAAAGUGACAGGUAUCCCGUAGAACUAAUCGAUGUGCGCAAAACUGGUCAGGACACUACGGCUAUAAAAGAAAUGUUCUUAAAACGGAAACUAUUGAUAAAUAAAGAUCCUUUCAUAUUGCCUAUUGGGAAUUUGUGAAAUUUUAGCUUGUCCUUUUCUCUUAAAAAAUGAGGAAAGCAUUGCGCAUUGACUAUGUGGUACUUUGUCAUGUUGGUCCCUUUUUUGUGGAGCAUGGCUGCAAGAAGACAACAACGUAACACGAGAGAACUUUGAUGUUUUUAGGUAAUAAUAUACUCCUCUUUUCCAUUUUUCAGUGUAAUGAUUUCUUCUACAUUUAUUAUGUAUUACAUAUACUUCUGAUAUUGAUUUUUCUAUUAAAGAGUUCUAUAAAUGAAGAAUCUCUGAGUUCCAAAAUGCCUCUGGUAUGUGCAUUAUUUCAUUCAGUUCUGGUGAGUUUUUCUCUGUUCUUGCUUUUCUCAUUGCACCCAAUUAGCUAGCGGGAUUUUAGUGCGUAAUAAGUAGUUUCUCCGUACCUUACGAUAGUUUCUUGUAAUUUUAAUUUUACACACAUGGCUACUGAUAUCCAGUUUGCAUACUGAUGCAUCGAAGGUGUUCGGUAAUAUGCCUAAAUCAACUCUUUUUUAAUAGCUUUUCUCUUUUGACAGUUUUUCUAUACUCCAGCAAUUUGAAAGGUGACUUUCCGUUGUAAAUUGAGCCAUGAAAUGAUGAACCGCCCUCUGCUGAUAGUAUACACUGUCGGUAAUCAAGACGGAAACAAGAUUACUGACAAACCAAUCUUGGACUAUAUCAUGAAGUCUCUUGGUCCAGAUUGUUUCUCUGCCUCUUCAAUGAGAAGAUCAGUUGGCGUGACUACAGGAAUGUGCCACACCUUAAUUAAGUUUAACUGAAAGUGAGGGACCUGGUCUACCAUUUGAAGUAAGUGCUUCCAUCACCAGUCUUAAAUGAAAUAUGGUGAAUGGUGAAGUAUCGAACUAUAGCACCGGAGCAAAAGCUAUAUUGCAAGUUAUGAUGAGGAAAAAUGGGGUUACAAUUGCUGACCGGGAAAAGUUGUCUUGAUCAAGCAACCCUGACGCACUGUUCUUAGAGGUAGUAGAAAUUCAGGAGAUGUGAAGACAUUUGGUACAUCAGAGGGCCUCUCACAUUGAGAGAAGGCUUGACUUACUGAUGAUUGGAGAUGGGAACUAUGAACAUGCAGCAGAGGAUCAGAUGAUAAAGAAAGGCUAGAUAUGUUGUUAAUUGGCAAGACACCGACUACUCAGUAGUGGCAAUUUGGUGCAAGGAUAGACUAAAACUUUGGCACAUAGAUGCUAAAGUACCAGAAACUUACUAGGUAGUGGGUACUAUAUUUUCCUAUGUAUUUCAGAAAUCUUAUAAAUUUUCUUAUCACAUUACAUCUAACUAGAACAUGUUUUUUCUAUAUUUGUGGACUUCACUUUGUCGCAUUCAAGGAACACAACGUUUGAUGCUUUCGGAGCAGAGGCUAUGAUUCUGCUCAAAUUUCCAUUGAUUGCUCAAAUCUCACUUCAGAGGCCACAUCUUCCUCUGCUUUCGUCUCUGUUGUCUUUCAUAAAGAAGGCACUAUUCAAUCACUAGCCAAAUCUAUCGAUCAAGCUUCACUUUGGAGUUCAAACUCUUCGGCUCCCAUAUAAGAAUCACGUUGAUGUUAUCUUUUAAGCAUGCAAAUAAAGCUCAUGCUUCCAGCUGGCAUGAAUUCUUCCAAAGUUCCGAUAUUUUUGUCAAGCUAAUUUAUGGAGCGGUCAAUUUUCAAAAGAGAAUGUGCUUCUUUUGUCCCUUAUGUAAAUGGGUUUUCUCAUGAAGAUGAAGAAUGUACGACUUCACAAUCUUGUACAACUUUGUUCCUUAGUGUGUGUAAAUAUUAUGAAGUGUUAAAAGCCUGAGACAAGAAAUAUUCUCUUGGUGUUAGGAUCUUUUUAGUAUUCUCUGCACAAAUAAUAAAAACAGUGAUGUUGGGCCUACGCCCGUGCAGAGCACGGGCACGGGCUAUCUAGUACAAUUAGAUAUGAGUCAUAUGGUGCUGAUUGUGAUAGUCCCACGUGGACCGUAAUUGUCCACCAUCAUGACACUUGUCUUCCACUAA